rnacentral:sRNA from 1 species
CACACACACCACUGCUUAUAUUACAAAAAAACAUUUUGCACUCAACUUUUCUUCAUGUAAAUGGAUUUGAGUCUCUUUCACAAAUGUUCAUUACUGAAUCCUGGCUUGGACACAGGACCUAAUUAAUCAUCUCUUUGGGUCUGCUUUUGUUCUCUGUGUCAGCAACAAAUCCUUUCCCAGAAAAAAAAAAUCCUUCAAGCUUUGCCCUAGGAGUAAGGCACGGGAGAAAAGGAGGGGCCCUAUUCCUGUAGAAGCCCAUUGUUUAUUUAACCCAGUGGCUGAAUUAUAAUCAGGCUUUCAUUGUUUUGUUUUUGAGGCUAAGAAGAGAAUUAAGCUAGUUCUAUUUAGUGGCUUAGAAGGGAGAGGGUCAAGUCUGGGUGUGCAUGAAAACCUCCCUUUCUUUGUUGCUUAGUUUGUGUGUGUGUGUGUGUGUGUGUGUGUGUGUGUGUGUGUGUGUGUGUGUGUGUUUGUGUUAUGUUUGUAUGUGUGGUAUGUAUGUGAAUGAUCAUACUGAGGUCAGGGGUUGAUGUUGGGUUUCUUCCAUGAUACCUACCCACUUUGUCUCUUGAGGGGUAGUAUCUGUUCCUACACCUGGAACUCACCAGUUCUUACCAGUCUAGCUAGCCUACUUGCCCUGUGAUUCCCCCAUCUCUGUCUCUUAAAUGCUGGGAUUAGCGACAACCACCACACCUACCAGGCUUUUUUAUGGAUUCCGGGGAUCCAAACACUGUUGCUUAUGCUUUUAAGGCAAGCAUUGUGUCCACUGAGUGACAUCCCCAACCCUCUAUUUCUUAAAUACACUUUUUGUAGGUAGUAUGAAGAGGAGGGGGAGAGGGAUAUGAAGGAGAAGCUGAGAGAAAAGGAGGAAAGGCAGCUCCAAGUACAAUGCUUUACUCUUUGAAUAUGAGGGUAAUGUUUUCUAGGCUCGUCUGAUAGUCCUUUCUAAGUCUGAAAUCGGCACACACAGAGUACCACGAAGCUUGCAGAAUUCUUCAGUGCUCUCUGUUACUGACAGCUCACAGUGCCUUGCCAUCACCACCCUAAGUAACUCUCCUAUGAGUGAACUCUCCCCACCAUGCUGCAACCCAAGAAGCAUCAUUGAUACUACAGGAAAUGAAAGACAACAUAAGAACCUAGAUCUAUGAUUUGAGCCAUGGAUUCCAGGCGCCAUGUUUAGCCCCUCACAGUGCCUGGAAGGUGGCACGUGGUUGUUGUCAAGUUCAAUAUUCCGUUCUUACUUGUGUCUUCUUGCCUGCUGGUAGUUGUGAACUCCAUUUCCAGGCUGUAGAGGUUAGGCUUGUCUCCACAUCACACCAACAGCUCAAACUCCCUCUAAGUGCUUUCCUAUGGUACAGAUAGGGGCUGCCAAGUGGCAAUGGCCUCAGCCAAAAUAGAUUUCCAAGUGGUUUGGCCUGAAGGACCCUGAUCUACUAGGUGCCAGAUUUGACCAUGAGACAUGGGGUAAAGAACCCCUUUCUGGGUUUCCCAAGAAGACAGAUAAACUUGGCCUGACACUAAUCAAAAAUCUCUGGGUUUGUAUAACACAUUUUCUCAUUUUAUUUGAUUUUUAGCCUUGUAUUUAAGUGCCUGUCACAACGACCCAUAGGAGAACAAAAGGCAACACAUGUCUACUGCAGUUUAUACUGAAUGAGUGGAAUCAUAAUCACAUGACGGUCAGGAAUGGACAAGGCCACACAUGCUGUGGCUGAUGGCAGGGACAGCCUGGGGCUCCGUGAGUGGAUUCCGUGUCCAGCACUCAUCGCUGGCCUAUACCACCUGCUGCUGUACAUAUGUUGGCUGUCCUUCCAGAGAGAAAGGGGGCUGUUUAGGGCAGAAAAUGCUGCAUCGUCAGCUGCUGACUCUCCAUUCCCGUGGAGAGAGGCGGAUGCUGAUGGUGCACGAUACAGAGAAAAGCGAUAAUUUCUUUUUCAUUUGAGAACAUGUUUUCAGGUGAGGAAUCGACCUCUUCCAUCAUACUCUGCUCUGUUUUGAAUAAAAUAAAGAGGACUGUGUAAAGGAAUGAUUUUUUUUAACCACUGCAUUAUGUCCUUUGCGUAUCAUGUCUCCUCUUAGCUAAGAACAGCAUUAUCCACUCUCCAUACGUAAAGGUACAGGGUCCGAAGUGCCGCGCACAUCUCGCAAAGCCUCGUAGCUGCAAGUGUGCCUUCCACACUCCCCUGAGCUCGUUGAUCUCCUUUGUAAGAUUCCGGAGGGCUAGGAAGAUGUCCCAGUGGGUGAGAUAUUGGAUGUGGAAGCAAAUUCGAAGAUGUCGGCUUAGAUCCCAGCACUCACGGAGAAAGCCACGUGUGGAGGACGCUCGGUAUUGCAGUUAAACCAGAUCAGCGUUUGUUCUCAGGUUCAUUUGCCGUAGUAAGGCCAACCUCGGGUUGCUGGUACAGAAGAGAAGGCUGCUGGUAAGAAGGUGACAGGCGACAGAUGGAGCCUAUUGAAUUGGGAAUAGGAUAAGCCAUGUACUGCCUAAGGCCACUUGAUCAAAGCUCUUUCACAAAGACUUCUUAGCUGUUCUGCGAUGCUACUGAGUGCCAUCUGGAACCCUGAGCUGAGAUGCUGUUCUUCAAGAGAAUAACAUGGUGCCAGAAGAGAAGUUCCUGUGUCCAAAUGGCCACUGAGGAAGGAGCCUUUGUUACCAUAAGAACAAAAGGAAGAGAUACCUUUCUUUUCUGCUGUUAAAAGAACCUACUUUUGAGACUAGAACUCCCUCAUUCUCUUAUAUCCAGACUAAACAGAAGGUACCGAGGACUUCGAGUCCUGGGAGUUUGCCAGUGAGCAGGAAAUUUGAGUUCCAGUCACAACAGGCCGCAGCGAGUAGGCACAGGAAGAACUAUGAUUCUAGGAUCUAGAGUGGAGGUACACAACCCUUUUCCAUCAAUCAUCGCGUGCCUUCCGCUGCCACCAUCAAGCAACGUGUUUGGUGGCCAACCCCCUCCUCUCUCAAGAGACUGUCUGGAGGCCAGUGUAGCAUUGGGAGCUUCUGGGAUCAUUCACGUAUGUACAGACAAGUUUAAAUAUUGAGGCUGUCUGUCUAGACAGCUCUUCCAACCUCUUUACUUCCCCAUGGGACCUGCCUUUACUCUCCUUCCAUCCAGCUGUGGAGAUGAUUGACAUUUUUGGAAUCCUCGGAGACAUAGUGCUUUCCAAACACGGAGUCUUAGAGUGAGCAAAGGAGAGAACGGAACGGUGAUUGGGGGACUUUAUUUCUAGGGAGAUUUCCCAAGUUAGGGACUGCUGUUACCCUCAUGGAAUGUGGCACAAAGAAAUCAGAUUCCAAAGCUAAUGGGAUUUGUUCAUCUGCUUUAAGAAGCACGGAGAGCUAUGGAAGACCUUUGGAUAAAUAAAUUAGGAUGAGAUAGGAUGCAUUUAACCUGAAAGCUCAUUGCUUAUACGGAUUUUAAAGAGCAAAGGCCUUGGAUUGGGUACAAGGGGUUUGUCCCCUGACCCACUGCCUUCGCAGCUAUGACCUGUACGAUAAUUAGUCUGCUGAGCAAAUAGGCCAGAAACAGUAACUGGGCCCUGGUGCUCUCCUCGAACCAACAUUCCAAGGACCGUUCAUUGUACUACUGAACCCUGGAAGACAUUGAGAUUCUGAACAUGACAGUCUAGGAAGUGACCAUUUUGUGCACUUGCGUCCACGCCUGCCACCUGCGUGCCUGGCGUAUGUGUCUGCAAAAUUUGAACCAAUAGGUCAGAUGAGCCGCUAGACAGUGGCUUGGGUUGCCCUUUCUUGUCACAGCAAAGAGCCACUUCUUUAGGUAGUUUUGGGUGAACUUUCACCUUCUUUUCUCCCUUCCCCUUCUCCACCUGCUUCUCACCUCAGGCCUUUAAAGGGCUCGAGUGAACUGCUACAUCCAAAGACAUCUUUCUUUAGAGACAUUAGGUAUCCAAAUAAAUGUUUACAUUCCUCCUACAGUUCUUCCCUUUCUUCUUGGUAUGAUGAGUUCAUAUCAUUUACCGCAUCUUAUUUUUUUAUGAACUAUUUUCUUUUUUUAACAGUUUUAGUUCUUUGUGAAUUUCACAUCAUGCACCCCAAUCCUACCCAUCUCCCCCUUUGCUUGUAUCUGCCCUCCACCCAUGCAACCUUCCCCACAGCAGAGAAAAGAAAUCGCAUUGUGGGAGCUGUAGAAUGUCAGUGUGGCCCACACUAUAUCCUUUUGUUCACACUUCUUUGCAAAUGUUCAUUGCAAUGACUUGUCGGUCUGGUUUGAGGCCUCUGGCUUCUGCUACUCUAUCAAUACUGGAACCUCACUGGGACUCCUCUUAAAUAUCUUGUUGUUGCCUUGUGUCAUAGGAUCCUGUAGUUUGGAUCUGUGGGACCGGCCUCUUCAUGAACUCCAGCAGUUUAUUGAUGGGGUAGAUGUUGGGGUGGGCCAAUUCUAAGCCCUAGAUCUAGGCCUAAUGGGUAUCUAAUAUGGUUAUCCUAUUGGCUGUCCAGCUCUCAUGCCCUCGGGGCUGACUCACCAGCAGCCCCUCCUAGGAGCUCUACUGUGCUGCCCAGGUGAGAUGCAGGGCCUGCUCUCCCAAGGGAUGCAGCAGGUGAUGGGCAGAGCCAGAUCUCUUACUCUGAGGAUCUUGGGACAGCUCUUCUGUUUGUACUUUUAAAAGGUAAAUGCUGUAAUGAACUAAUCUGCCAUCCAAGUAACUACUUGCCUUUGGUGGCAAAGGGUAGGGGCUGGACAGCUCUUCCUCACCUAUGCCACCAUAAUGGCAGACAAGUUGCUGGGCCAGCUCUCCCAUGCUCACACCCUCGAGCUAGCUCGCCUGCAUCACUAUCAAAAGGCCAAUCGUACUGUGCUGCCGAGAUGAAGUGCAGGGCCUGCUCUUCUUAGUGCUGCAGCAGGUGAGGGACAGCUAUUCUGUCUCAUGACUCUGUUGGGACCAACUCUUCAGCCUGGUGUAGAUGCUGAGGGUAAAAUGGAGGACAAGGGGUCUCUCCCUCACUGAAGCCACCACAUAGCAGGCAAGGGGCAGGGCCUUGUUGUUGUUGUCGUCGUCGUU